rfam:Leptospirillum ferriphilum ML-04, complete genome.
GUUCAAGCGACAAAGGGCAGACGGGGGAUGCCUUGGCAGCAGUAGGCGAAGAAGGACGCGGCGAGCUGCGAAAAGCUCCGGGGAGUCGCUCACAGGCGUUGAUCCGGAGGAAUCCGAAUGGGGGAACCCCGCUGGGGUCAUGCCCAGCGAGCCACAUCUGAAUCCAUAGGGUGUGGCGGCGAACCCGGGGAAGUGAAACAUCUCAGUACCCGGAGGAAGAGAAAUCAAGCGAGAUUCCCCAAGUAGUGGCGAGCGAACGGGGAAGAGCCCAAACCUCCACCACGUGACAGGUCGAAGCCGUUGUGGCGGGGGGGUAGACGGAGGCAAGGCGGUGUCGCUUCGACGGCACCCGGUUCCGAAGGGCGUUAGGCGAACGGUCUGGAAAGGCCGACCAGAGAGGGUGACAGUCCCGUAGUCGAAAGCGCGGCGGAGGGCCGACUUGUGAUCCGGAGUACCACCGGGCCCGAGAAACCCGGUGGGAAGCAGGGAAGACCACUUUCCAAGGCUAAAUACUCACUGCUGACCGAUAGUGAACCAGUACCGUGAGGGAAAGGCGAAAAGAACCCCGGGCAGGGGAGUGAAAAAGAACCUGAAACCGUCUGCCUACAACCAGUCGGAGCACAGCGCUCGCAAGAGCCGUGUGACGGCGUGCCUUUUGCUUAAUGAGCCGGCGAGUUCAUCAGGGGAGCGAGGUUAAGGAGAUUCCGGAGCCGAAGCGAAAGCGAGUCCGAAGAGGGCGACAGAGUUGUCCUGAUGAGACCCGAAGCGAAGUGAUCUACCCAUGGCCAGGGUGAAGCGCGGCUAACCCCGCGUGGAGGCCCGAACCGGUGCCUGGUGCAAAAGACUCGGAUGAGCUGUGGGUAGGGGCGAAAGACUAAUCAAACUUCGUGAUAGCUGGUUCUCCUCGAAAUCACUCUAGGGUGAGCCUUGCGUGAAUCCUGUCGGAGGUAGAGCACUGAAUGGACGAGGGGCCUUCACCGGCUACCGAAUCCAACCAAACUCCGAAUGCCGACAGAGAAUGCGCAGGAGUUAGACUACGGGUGCUAAGAUCCGUGGUCAAAAGGGAAACAGCCCAGACCGCCAGCUAAGGUCCCCAAUCCAUGCUUAGUGGGAAAGGAAGUGGAUAUCCAGAGACAGCCAGGAGGUUGGCUUAGAAGCAGCCAUCCUUUAAAGAGUGCGUAAUAGCUCACUGGUCAAGGGUAUCUGCACCGAAAAUGUAACGGGGCUCAAGCAUGGAACCGAAGCUGCGGACUGUCCGCAUGGACAGUGGUAGAGGAGCGUUCGUUCCGGGGUGAAGGAUGACCGAAAGGGCAUCUGGACCGGAAUGAAGAGAGAAUGCCGGCAUGAGUAGCGUUAAAAGACGCGAGAACCGUCUUCGCCGAAAGUCUAAGGAUUCCUGGGCAACGUUCAUCGACCCAGGGUGAGUCGGUCCCUAAGCCGAGGGGGAAACCCGUAGGCGAUGGACAACAGGUUAAUAUUCCUGUACCCGGUGGCUGGCGAAUACCAAGGCCAGAGGGGGGACGCAGAAGGGAAGGCACCGCCACGAGAUGGUUUUCGUGGUCCAAGCCCGCAGGGGGGGUCUCAGGUAAAUCCGGGACCCAUGAACCGAGAGGUGACGGGGAGCCGCGCAAGCGGCGAAGGGGCCGGGCCCACGCUGCCAAGAAAAGCCUCGCUGGAAGUGAGCCAUCGGACCGUACCGCAAACCGACACUGGUAGACGGGAGGAAGACUCCAAGGCGCAUGAGAGAACUCUCGCUAAGGAACUAGGCAAACUCGCCCCGUAACUUCGGGAGAAGGGGUGCCGACGGUGUGUCAAAGCACCGGUCGGUCGCAGUGAAGAGGGUCAAGCGACUGUUUACCAAAAACACAGGACUCUGCAAAGUCGAAAGACGACGUAUAGGGUCUGACGCCUGCCCGGUGCUGGAAGGUUAACGAGAGGGGUUAGUGCGCAAGCGCGAAGCUCUGAACCGAAGCCCCAGUAAACGGCGGCCGUAACUAUAACGGUCCUAAGGUAGCGAAAUUCCUUGUCGGGUAAGUUCCGACCCGCACGAAUGGCGUAACGACUUGACCGCUGUCUCAGCGAGAGACUCAGCGAAAUUGACGUGCUGGUGAAGAUACCAGCUGCCCGCAACUAGACGGAAAGACCCUGUGCACCUUUACUAUAGCUUGGCAGUGGGUGCUAGGAUAACCUGUGUAGCAUAGGUGGGAGGCGUGGAAGCGCAUGCGCUAGCAUGUGUGGAGCCGACGGUGAAAUACCACCCUGGUGAUUCUGGCAUCCUCACCGCGUCCCGUGAUCCGGGACCGGGACCCUGUCUGGCGGGUAGUUUGACUGGGGCGGUCGCCUCCUAAACAGUAACGGAGGCGCCCAAAGGUUCCCUCAGGCUGGACGGAAACCAGCCGUUGAGUGCAAAGGCAUAAGGGAGCUUCACUGAGAGACCGACGGGUCGAUCAGAUGGGAAACCAGGGCUUAGUGAUCCGGUGGUACCUCGUGGGAGGGCCAUCGCUCAGCGGACAAAAGGUACGCCGGGGAUAACAGGCUGAUCUCCCCCAAGAGUUCACAUCGACGGGGAGGUUUGGCACCUCGAUGUCGACUCAUCGCAUCCUGGGGCUGAAGUUGGUCCCAAGGGUUGGGCUGUUCGCCCAUUAAAGCGGUACGAGAGUUGGGUUCAGAACGUCGUGAGACAGUUCGGUCCCUAUCUGUUGUGGGCGUUGGAUAUUUGAGAGGAUCGGUCCCUAGUACGAGAGGACCGGGAUGGACUGACCUCUAGUGUGCCGGCUGUCGUGCCAACGGCAGGCCGGGUAGCUAUGUCGGGACGGGAGAACUGCUGAAAGCAUCUAAGCGGGAAACCCACCUCAAGAUAAGAUAUCCCGCCGCGCAAGCGGCCAGAAGACCCCUGGUAGACGACCAGGUUGAUAGGCUGGGCAUGUAAGGCCUGCAAGGGUUUGAGUGUACCAGUACUAAUCGGUCGAGCGGCUUGAUGCA